GUCAGUUUCACUAAAAGAAAAAAGGAAGGAAAAAAAGAGGUGGGGCAAGAUUUUAUCUAUUAUCUUAUCCCUUUAUUUUCUUAAAGAAAGUUCAGUUUGGUCAGUGGAUCUAUUUGGUUAUGUUAUUUAAAUGUUUUCUGUGAACUGUGAACUAGGGUGAGAGCAGACAUGUCGUCACAACCAGUCCAGGGGACAUGAGGGACGGCAUGCAGUUUGCAGUUGUGUUUUAUCUGAUCUUAUUGAUUAUCUCUAUAUCAGCUUCUUCAAUAAUAAACUGUCAGUUUAUCCUCUCUCCCCUCAGGAACAUUUUUAUAUUUUCCUUGUAUUAUAAAAUUAUACGUGUCUUUUCAUGUAACAGAAUGUUUGAGUUUUAGUUCCCUGAACAUUGUAAAAGUUGAAUUUCGUUUUGAACCGAGGAAUUUCUCAAAUAACUAUUCUGAGUCUCUCCUGAGGAUUUUCUAGCAGUUUGCCAUGUAAUAAUGCUGACAUUGUUGCUUAUUUGCUUGAUUUUGAAAUGAUACUUCAAUUGAAUUUACAUAAACCCUUGUUUUAAAAAGAGCAAAUGUUUUGGAGUGAUUUUUUUAAAGGAUAUGUGCACAACGAUUUUUAACUUUAAAAAUAUUCCUGUUCCCAUGUCUAAAUUCAGGAUAAUAUCUUUUCCAUCUUUGUUCUUAUUGGGAGUUAUCUCAUUAGAAAAAUGUGGCACUUAGGCCCAAAGCCUCCCAAGAACAAAAAUCUGUUACAGUAUGACAUAG
rnacentral:lncRNA from 1 species